CCUACGGGUGGUUGCAGUCGAGAAUCAUUCACAAUGGGGGAAACCCUGAUGGUGCGACGCCGCGUGGGGGAAUGAAGGUCUUCGGAUUGUAAACCCCUGUCAUGUGGGAGCAAAUUAAAAAGAUAGUACCACAAGAGGAAGAGACGGCUAACUCUGUGCCAGCAGCCGCGGUAAUACAGAGGUCUCAAGCGUUGUUCGGAAUCACUGGGCGUAAAGCGUGCGUAGGCUGUUUCGUAAGUCGUGGGUGAAAGGCGCGGGCUCAACCCGCGGACGGCACAUGAUACUGCGAGACUAGAGUAAUGGAGGGGGAACCGGAGGUAUCGGGGGAGCAGGGAGAGGGGGAGAUAGCGAGAGGA
rnacentral:rRNA from 1 species